CAAAACCUCUGUGUUCCAGAUAGUGACUACUCUGUCUGCGUGGGUCCUGGAGAGAGGAGGAUGCAGAGCACAGCACUUAGCCAACCUGCAAUGGACACGUAGAGUCCUCCUUACUGUCUUGUGUUCAAUGCUGAAGACCUGGUGUCCAUGCCUAACAUAACCUGAAGGUGCCUCUUGAAUGGAUCACAUUUGGCUUUCCUUAUGUCCUUGCUCACUAUCAUGGCUACCACGAGAGCCAAGGCAACCCACAGAGAUGGACUUGAAGUGAGAAAUCUACUCUGACCUUUGCCAGAACAUCCAGCUCAGAUUUUGGCCUAGGAACCUCAAGAAAGGCUCUGGCCUAGACUUGCCCCUUGUUCCUGUCUUCUGGCUCUUGACUGACACUGGUGCUUUCCCCCUGUGGUCCUGCAUGGUGUGUGGUGACUACCUCAUUGGGCCCUGAAACUUCUAAAAUCAUCAGGAGAUAUCACUGAAAAGGUUUCAAAACAAAGCCAUAAUCUCUAGAAAUGUGUCCUUGAUGGGUUGGUCUUCAUUUGCCUGAAGGAAUUGAGGCUAAGUGAGCCAAGGAAAAAGUCAUCCAUCAAGAACAAAGCAAGAUUUCUCAACCAUGGCAGGACGUUAGGAUCAUCUGUAGAACUUUAAAAUAUUGUUUAAUUUUUUUCAUUUGGUUUCCUUUAUAGUUGAUUUUGUUUAACUUUGCCAGUGAAAUUUAUAAGAAUAGAGAAAAUUCUGCAAAGUUCACAUUGGUUGAAGUCCAGUGGUAAAUAAUGUAUCUACUCUAGGCUGAUCAUUCUAAGGAGGAUUUUGUGCUGCUCUUGUUUUGCUGCUGGGCCUAUCCUGUUUCCAUUCCCAAAUCAAGUAUUCCUGGAAUUUAAGGUAUCACUUUACCAGCCUGACCACAAGUUCCCCAUUGUUUCCUCUGCUCUGCUCAUGACCUGGAAUAAUGCCUCUCCCUGGAUACUAAAUUUACUGACCCUGCCUAGGACCGAGAAGAUUGAUGAGUCCUCAACCCGUGCAUGUCUUCAAAAAGGUAAGACAGACCAGCAAAGCAGUAAAAUGACAGACCCAUUGUUUGAGCCCAACGCUGGGACUUCCCCUUUUGUAUAAGCUGAGUCACAUUUUUCCUGUUGUCAACUUGAAGCCUGUUCGUUGAUGUACGAUAGGACUAUCUUGCUGAUAUAUAAAGUCAGGCAGACAGGUUUCCUUGCAUUUGUUUGCCUUACCUUGGACCCUUACACCAACUGAUAGCUACAAAACUGCACUUCCUAGAGACAUGUUGAGAGAGGUUCAAGGCUCAACAGAACUUACCCUUUUGCUGUCAGAGGUCCACCACCAGAUAAGCACAACUGAGCGAAUGACACCAACCAGUGCCAAGAGAAGCAGGACUACCCAACUACACUUUGCCUAAAUUCCUGAUUCACAGAAUUAUAAGCAAAUAAAAUGAUUGUUUAAAGCAC
rnacentral:lncRNA from 1 species